UUUUGGACAAUGGGCGCAAGCCUGAUCCAGCCAUUCCGCGUGAGCGAAGAAGGCCUUCGGGUUGUAAAGCUCUUUCGCAAGGGAAGAAAGAUUACUCUCUAAUAUAGAGUGAUUAUGACGGUACCUUGAUAAGAAGCACCGGCUAACUACGUGCCAGCAGCCGCGGUAAUACGUAGGGUGCGAGCGUUAAUCGGAAUUACUGGGCGUAAAGCGUGCGCAGGCGGUUUUGUAAGUCAGAUGUGAAAUCCCCGAGCUCAACUUGGGAACUGCGUUUGAAACUACAAGACUAGAAUAGGUCAGAGGGGGGUAGAAUUCCACGUGUAGCAGUGAAAUGCGUAGAGAUGUGGAGGAAUAUCAAUGGCGAAGGCAGCCCCCUGGGAUCAUAUUGACGCUCAUGCACGAAA
rnacentral:rRNA from 1 species